GGGUUGAUGGUCUAAAGGUAUGGUUCUCGCUUCAGGUGCGAGAGGUCCUGGGUUCGAACACCAGCUCGGCUCA
rnacentral:tRNA from 1 species